GACGAACGCUGGCGGCGUGCCUAACACAUGCAAGUCGAGCGAUAAAGCUUUGUGCUUGUGCCAUUUUGGAGAGCAGCGAACGGGUGAGUAACGCGUGGAUCAUCUGCUUUUGUUUGGGGGACAAUAUUUGGAGACGAAUUCUAAUACCACAUAACAACUUUAAACAUAGGUUUUAAGGUUGAAUGAUGCCAUUGCAUCAUUCAAAGAUGAUCCCGCGUUGUGUUAGUUAGUUGGUGAGGUAAAGGCGCACCAAGGCGAGGGUACAUAGCCGGCCUGAGAGGGUGAUCGGCCGAAAUGGGACUGAGACACGGCCCAAACUGCUACGGGAGGGAGCCGUAGGGAAACGUCGGCAAUGGACGAAAGUCUGAACGAACAACGCCGCGGGAGUGAAGAAGGUUUUCGGGUCGGAAAACUCUGUUGGUAGAGAAGAAAGUUGGUGAGAGUGGAAAGCUGAUCAAGUGACGGUAACUACCCAAAAAGCAACGGCUAACUACGUG
rnacentral:rRNA from 1 species